rnacentral:rRNA from 1 species
UACGUAGGUGGCAAGCGUUGUCCGGAAUUAUUGGGCGUAAAGAGCUCGUAGGCGGUCUGUUGCGUCGGCUGUGAAAACCCGGGGCUCAACCCCGGGCCUGCAGCCGAUACGGGCAGACUAGAGUUCGGCAGGGGAGACUGGAAUUCCUGGUGUAGCGGUGAAAUGCGCAGAUAUCAGGAGGAACACCGGUGGCGAAGGCGGGUCUCUGGGCCGAUACUGACGCUGAGGAGCGAAAGCGUAGGGAGCGAACAGG